rnacentral:rRNA from 1 species
CAAGGAAUUUUCCGCAAUGGGCGCAAGCCUGACGGAGCAACGCCGCGUGGGGGAGGACGCCCUUCGGGGUGUAAACCCCUUUUCUUGGGGACGACGACCGACGGUACCCGAGGAAGAAGGCCCGGCUAACUACGUGCCAGCAGCCGCGGUAAUACGUAGGGGCCGAGCGUUGUCCGGAGUUACUGGGCGUAAAGCGCGCGCAGGCGGCUCGCUUUGCCCGGCGUGAAAGCCCCCGGCUCAACCGGGGAGGGUCGUCGGGGACGGGCGGGCUUGAGGCCGGCAGGGGCAGGUGGAAUUCCCGGUGUAGUGGUGAAAUGCGUAGAGAUCGGGAGGAACACCCGUGGCGAAGGCGGCCUGCUGGGCCGGACCUGACGCUGAGGCGCGAAGGCGUGGGGAGCGAACGG